CACGUAGUUAGCCGGUGCUUAUUCUUCCGGUACCGUCAUCGACCCGGGGUAUUAGCCCAGGCCAUUUCUUUCCGGACAAAAGUGCUUUACAACCCGAAGGCCUUCUUCACACACGCGGCAUUGCUGGAUCAGGGUUGCCCCCAUUGUCCAAAAUUCCCCA
rnacentral:rRNA from 1 species